rnacentral:rRNA from 1 species
GUGGAUUAGAUACCCGGGUAGUCCACGCCGUAAACGAUGAUAACUAGCUGUCCGGGCACUUGGUGCUUGGGUGGCGCAGCUAACGCAUUAAGUUAUCCGCCUGGGGAGUACGGUCGCAAGAUUAAAACUCAAAGGAAUUGACGGGGGCCUGCACAAGCGGUGGAGCAUGUGGUUUAAUUCGAAGCAACGCGCAGAACCUUACCAGCCUUUGACAUCCUAGGACGACUUCUGGAGACAGAUUUCUUCCCUUCGGGGACCUAGUGACAGGUGCUGCACGGUUGUCGCCAGCU